GGGGGCUGUAAAUUUGUUCUGUUUUGCUUAUUUAAAAAUGUGGUGGGCCACUUCCACUGGGCUUGGGGAACCUCCCGAUCAUUCUGCUGAGUGGGGCCUUCAACGCCUGCCCUAAAGUCCUGUCCCAAUGGCACUACUGCCUGUGUGAUAUGAUGGAUCCAUCUAGUCCAGGCAUAGGCAAACUCCGGCCCUCCAGAUGUUUGGGACUACAGUUCCCAUCAUCCCUGGCUAACAGGACCAGUGGUCAGGGAUGAUGGGAAUUGUAGUCCCAAAUAUCUGGAGGGCCGGAGUUUGCCUAUGCCUGAUCUAGUCUCUUAAGAGUAGCCAGCUCACAAGCAGGCUCUAAAAGGGACGGCCAGCUCCUGUUGUUUAUUCCCAUUAUCCAGGAAUAAGAGGUAUAUUGCACUUGGCUGUGGAAGUUCCAUUCUUAGCAGCUGUGGUGUCUUGUGAUUGAUAGAUGUAUAUUCCAUGAACUUGUCUAGGCUUAAUAUAUAUAUAUAUAUAUAUAUAUAUAUAUAUAUAUAUAUAUAUAUAGUGGUGCCCUGCAAGACGAAAUUAAUUCGUUCCGCAAUUUUUGCUGUCUAGCGAAUUUUUCUUCUUGCGAAGCACGGUUUAAACGGUUUAACAAACUCGCGAGACGUUUUCGUCUUGCGAAGCAAGCCCAUAGGGGAAUUCAUCUUGCGAGGCAAAUCGCGAAUGAAAAAACCUUUCGUCUAGCGAGUUUUUUGUCUUGCGAGGCAUUCGUCUUGCGGGGCACCACUGUAUAUAUAUAAACACCUAUGCUAGUGGCCAUUGCCAGAUAUUGCAGAAAAUGGAUUCCUGUUUUUGCAGGUUACCUGGACAAGAGAAAAAGGGAAUUCACAAAUAAAGUAUCCAUUGGUUUUCCUUGCUUCCACAUGAGGCGUGUGCAGGUGGGGACCUUGUGCAUCUCCUGCAUUCUAGCAGAAAACGGGGAACCAGGGACAAAGGAAGCAUAAUGUCAACUUCAGCCUCAUAUGAAAAGAACCUGUGAUCGAUCACCUUGCCUGCCUUUGCUGCUAAAUGAGAGUUGGAAUAUGGAAGAAACCAGCGAGAGUUAUUUAGGCUGUGUACACCUUACCGUAUCCUCUGGGUCCAGUGCAUUCCCACAGCUGGUAUUUGAACAUGGUGUUGCCCACAACCCUGUUGUUUCUUGAGAAAAUACUGCUAUUUGGUGCAUUUCCCCUCAAAGCAGCUGAAAGGAAAACCUAAGCCACACUCACUUUGCAAUUGAGCUUUUACAUCCUGCUUUUUCUUAAAAGACUGUUUAAGCUUUUUUUUGUGAAGGGGGAGAGAUUAAAGUCACUUUAAAAUAACUUCUUUCCCCUCCGCCAAGUUUACAUUCCUCCCCUCCUCAGUUUAAUAACUUGUGGCAACCCUCCUUAUGACCUUCCAUUAAGACAAAAUAUUCUCCAGUAAUUUCCCUUUCUUCUUUGCUUGAUCAAGCCAAAUCUGAUAUGGUACCUCAAGCCAGCAGUCUAUCCAAUUGGCAGGCACAACGGGGAAGACAACUCACG
rnacentral:lncRNA from 1 species